GUAUUUUUUCCCGGCACCUGCAUAAUCAGGUGCCGGGAUUGGAACCCCGAAUU
rnacentral:ncRNA from 1 species